AAAAUUUGAUCCAAUCGAAAAAUUACACCAGAGAAUUUUCGUAUUAACGAUUACAAAUUAUGAUCAUUAAUAAUUAUUUCGUAGUAGCGUCUAGAACAUUUUAUUCACGUAAAGUCCAAAAAAGUUUCUUUACUUACCCAUUACAAAUUAUAUAUUAUGAACAAAUCAGUAAAGGUUUAACAUUAGUCGCACACUAAUCCUACACGG